GCGCUCGUAGCUCAGUUGGAUAGAGCGUCGCCCUCCGGAGGCGAAGGCCAGGGGUUCAAAUCCUCUCGGGCGCACCA
rnacentral:tRNA from 1 species